rnacentral:rRNA from 1 species
ACUCCUACGGGAGGCAGCAGUGGGGAAUCUUAGACAAUGGGCGCAAGCCUGAUCUAGCCAUGCCGCGUGAGUGAUGAAGGCCCUAGGGUCGUAAAGCUCUUUCGCCUGUGAAGAUAAUGACUGUAGCAGGUAAAGAAACCCCGGCUAACUCCGUGCCAGCAGCCGCGGUAAUACGGAGGGGGUUAGCGUUGUUCGGAAUUACUGGGCGUAAAGCGCGCGUAGGCGGAUUAGUCAGUCAGAGGUGAAAUCCCAGGGCUCAACCCUGGAACUGCCUUUGAUACUGCUAGUCUUGAGUUCGAGAGAGGUGAGUGGAAUUCCGAGUGUAGAGGUGAAAUUCGUAGAUAUUCGGAGGAACACCAGUGGCGAAGGCGGCUCACUGGCUCGAUACUGACGCUGAGGUGCGAAAGUGUGGGGAGCAAACAGGAUUAGAUACCCUGGUAGCACAGAG